rnacentral:rRNA from 1 species
UACGUAGGGGGCAAGCGUUGUCCGGAUUUAUUGGGCGUAAAGAGCGUGUAGGCGGCCAGACAGGUCCGUUGUGAAAACUCGAGGCUCAACCUCGAGAUGUCGAUGGAAACCGUCUGGCUAGAGUCCGGAAGAGGAGUGUGGAAUUCCUGGUGUAGCGGUGAAAUGCGCAGAUAUCAGGAAGAACACCAAUGGCGAAAGCAGCUUUCUGGGACGGUACUGACGCUGAGACGCGAAAGCGUGGGGAGCAAACAGG